AAUUCGCCCUUAGAGUUUGAUCAUGGCUCAGAGUGAACGCUGGCGGUAGGCCUAACACAUGCAAGUCGAACGGCAGCACAGUAAGAGCUUGCUCUUAUGGGUGGCGAGUGGCGGACGGGUGAGGAAUACAUCGGAAUCUACUCUGUCGUGGGGGAUAACGUAGGGAAACUUACGCUAAUACCGCAUACGACCUACGGGUGAAAGCAGGGGAUCUUCGGACCUUGCGCGAUUGAAUGAGCCGAUGUCGGAUUAGCUAGUUGGCGGGGUAAAGGCCCACCAAGGCGACGAUCCGUAGCUGGUCUGAGAGGAUGAUCAGCCACACUGGAACUGAGACACGGUCCAGACUCCUACGGGAGGCAGCAGUGGGGAAUAUUGGACAAUGGGCGCAAGCCUGAUCCAGCCAUACCGCGUGGGUGAAGAAGGCCUUCGGGUUGUAAAGCCCUUUUGUUGGGAAAGAAAUCCAGCCGGCUAAUACCU
rnacentral:rRNA from 1 species